rnacentral:rRNA from 1 species
CAGCCGCCGCGGUAACACCGGCGGCCCGAGUGGUGAUCGUGAUUAUUGGGUCUAAAGGGUCCGUAGCCGGUUUGGUCAGUCCUCCGGGAAAUCUGAUAGCUCAACUAUUAGGCUUUCGGGGGAUACUGCCAGACUUGGAACCGGGAGAGGUAAGAGGUACUACAGGGGUAGGAGUGAAAUCUUGUAAUCCCUGUGGGACCACCUGUGGCGAAGGCGUCUUACCAGAACGGGUUCGACGGUGAGGGACGAAAGCUGGGGGCACGAACCGGAUUAGAUACCCGGGUAGUCCCAGCCGUAAACGAUGCUCGCUAGGUGUCAGGCAUGGCGCGACCGUGUCUGGUGCCGCAGGGAAGCCGUGAAGCGAGCCACCUGGGAAGUACGGCCGCAAGGCUGAAACUUAAAGGAAUUGGCGGGGGAGCACAACAACGGGUGGGAAGCCUGCGGUUUAAUUGGACUCAACGCCGGACAACUCACCGGGGGCGACAGCAAUAUGUAGGCCAAGCUGAAGACUUUGCCUGAAUCGCUGAGAGGUGGUGCAUGG